rnacentral:miRNA from 1 species
CCAGGGUCCUCUUGCCGGAGCCCCAGAAAGAGGAGAGACCUAGGUCACAGAAGAGGGUCUAGGG